GACGAACGCUGGCGGCGUGCUUAACACAUGCAAGUCGAACGGAAAGGCCCUGCUUUUGUGGGGUUCUCGAGUGGCGAACGGGUGAGUAACACGUGAGUAACCUGCCCUUGACUUUGGGAUAACUUCAGGAAACUGGUGCUAAUACCGGAUAGGAGCUCCUGCUGCAUGGUGGUGGUUGGAAAGUUUCGGCGGUUGGGGAUGGACUCGCGGCUUAUCAGCUUGUUGGUGGGGUAGUGGCUUACCAAGGCUUUGACGGGUAGCCGGCCUGAGAGGGUGACCGGCCACAAUGGGACUGAGAUACGGCGCAGACUCCUACGGGAGGCAGCAGUGGGAAAUAUUGCACAAUGGGCGGAAGCCUGAUGCAGCAACGCCGCGUGCGGGAAGACGGCCUUCGGGUUGUAAACCGCUUUCGCCUGUGACGAAGCGUGAGUGACGGUAAUGGGUAAAGAAGCACCGGCUAACUACGUG
rnacentral:rRNA from 1 species